CUUCACUGUACUGUGAGGAGCCCCAGUCUCAUCUCUGAGGACCAAUCAGGAUGCAGGAUACAGCAAGGAGGAGAGUUUAUCCUAUUGGAUAGUGUGUGACAAGGGCUCUAGGGGGCGCUUGUGUCUUUGGUGCAGUGGGCCCUGCACUGGUGCGGGCCGGGUGGGCUGGAGUGGGCUCCUAGACCGCACGUCGAGCACUUUCAGUGCCAGAUCGAGGCCUGAAUGCCCGGCUAAAAACCAUGUCCCAGAGGCGACGCCUCUGUAAAUGUUAUGGGACUCUCUCUCAGCGCAGGGAGCCAGGUCAAGCGUCUCACACUGCAGGUCCGCACUUGGCUGUGGAGCUGGUCCUGAGAAUCCGCAGUCUGCCGAGUUCGGACGCUACGCCGCUAAAUCAGAAUCCCACCUAAAAGAUGGGCGCCUGUUCCAACGGGUUCUCUUUCCUGACCCCCGCACAGCCGCGGAAAUCUCUCGCACCAGCAACUGUCCAGCCAGGCUCCCAGGAAUAACACUCAACUCCACUGCUGAUCCUGACCCUGUUCACCUCAGGACUCAAGAGGUCACUAUCCUCUUCCGGUGCCUUCUGUCCAGGGAAACCCAAGGCCUCCUUCCAGAACUGUCUCCUAUCUAACAGGACCCCGGCUGCUCUCCCUCCACCCCAUGCACAUUAACACAGAAACGCCAGUUCAAUUCCAGAAACAGGGUUUAACCCCCCCUCCAGUGGGCUGUGUACAUUGUACUAUGUAUUGCCUUGUAAUUUGCACGAUCAGCACUUUGCACAAUGUGUAUCCUGUCUACAGUGUCUAUAUCGGUGUCCUGCCUGUAUCUGCACCACAGACCAGGAGGAACGAUAUUUCGUCCCACUGUAUACUUGUAUGUGGCUGGAACGACAAAUAAACGUGAACUUGAACAAUGUCUCUGCUCCUUCUGCUCCUCUAUCUAAAUA
rnacentral:lncRNA from 1 species